rnacentral:rRNA from 1 species
GAUGAACGCUGGCGGCGUGCCUAAUACAUGCAAGUCGAGCGAAUGGAUUAAGAGCUUGCUCUUAUGAAGUUAGCGGCGGACGGGUGAGUAACACGUGGGUAACCUGCCCAUAAGACUGGGAUAACUCCGGGAAACCGGGGCUAAUACCGGAUAACAUUUUGAACCGCAUGGUUCGAAAUUGAAAGGCGGCUUCGGCUGUCACUUAUGGAUGGACCCGCGUCGCAUUAGCUAGUUGGUGAGGUAACGGCUCACCAAGGCAACGAUGCGUAGCCGACCUGAGAGGGGCCUCGGCCACACUGGGACUGAGACACGGCCCAGACUCCUACGGGAGGCAGCAGUAGGGAAUCUUCCGCAAUGGACGAAAGUCUGACGGAGCAACGCCGCGUGAGUGAUGAAGGCUUUCGGGUCGUAAAACUCUGUUGUUGGGGAAGAACAAGUGCUAGUUGAAUAAGCUGGCACCUUGACGGUACCUAACCAGAAAGCCACGGCUAACUACGUGCCAGCCGCCGCGGUAA